rnacentral:rRNA from 1 species
CCCCUAGAUGUUCUGGGCCGCACGCGCGCUACACUGAACAGUUCAACAAGUCUUAACCUUGGCCGAUAGGUCUGGGUAAUCUUUGAACGCUGUUCGUGAUUGGGAUAGACCUUUGCAAUUAUGGGUCUUCAACGAGGAAUUCCUAGUAAGCGCGAGUCAUCAGCUCGUGCUGAUUACGUCCCUGCCCUUUGUACACACCGCCCGUCGCUCCUACCGAUUGAGUGUUCCGGUGAAUAAUUCGGACUGCAGUAGCGUGAGGACUCCUCACCUGCAGCGGAAAGUUUGGUGAACCUUAACACUUAGAGGAAGGAGAAGUCGUAACA